GAAGAAUCACACGACAGGGUGAAUCAAUGAAGGCCCCGAAGGGUGCGUUUAUUGAGAGGUGCUCGUGCCAAAGUGUUUGGGUGAGAUAGCCUCGUGCUCCAGGAUCCGCGUGUUUCCUCUGCCUCCGUGGGUGCGUGCUGGGUGCCGGUGCGGGAAUUGUGCCUCGGGGCUGGCCGGUCAGACACUCCUUUCUGCGGGAGAAUGAGAGGAAGAAGCAUUAGAGAGGCAUCCAGACAUCAAAGAUGAGCAGGGUGUGUACUAAAAUCACCGGCAGCAGGCUAGAAGAUAAAACAAGUUGUGCCAGAGGUAAACCAAACAGGGUUCUACUGAAUGUGGCAGCACUUUCUUUACUCGUCAUUAGACAUUUUUCACUAAAGGAAACAGCAAACAUUACACAGACAAUAACAUGAGGAUGACGAUGUGUCAAGCUGUGUUUUGCUGGAGCCUACUUCACAUAGCAGGUAAGAUCUGAUAUGACGCUGAAACAAAUAACAGACAAGUUCUUGUUUGAUAACCUUAUUUUAACCUUGCAGUAAAAUACAAUAAAGUUAUAUUUUGGUUUAAAUUAUGUAGGCCUAUUCGCCACAAGAUGAUGGAACAACUUUUGAUUAGUUAACUUCUAUUAUUUUCUUUGCAACACCUAAAAUUAAUAUCUGAAAUUAAUGUUACCUUUUCGUUAAAAACCCAGAAUAGUAAAGUGCAAUAUCAUUAUUAAUUUAAAGUAAAUGGAAUUAGUUAUUUUUCUAACAUCUUUCUUUAUGCCAUGGUCUGUCUGAAUACUCGAUUCUGAUUGGCUGGCAGGUGUUGAUUAAAUUUGUUGAACUGCAGGUAGUUCCAGGUCAGUUUAAUCACGUUCUAUAUUAAUGCACUUCCUAUAAACAUUGGUAACCAUAGUAACAUACAUAUUUAAUAUGUGAAUGCUGGCAAUGACCAUGGCAUAAACAGGAUAAUCAACGGCUAGCUGUGCAUUAAACAAUUUGAAUGCACUCCGCUGUUUUUAAUAAUUACUGUUAGGAGAGGAUAAUAUGAGUAAAAGUAAUACAUCCCAGUCACAAUUGUUUAGUUUGCUGUUUAUUGCUCGUAAGUGUUAACUGUCUGUAGGCAAUAUUUUGCUUAUUUCUUGUCAUGUAUUGUUUUUUUGUAAACAGCUUUGCAGCUUUUUCUUUCCUGUACAGUAGGCUAUGUACGGUAAUUGAUAAGGUUGAUGGUUUUGUAAGAUUAAUCACAUUUUGUGUUACCCUGAGAUUAUAAAAUGACAUACUGAAUGAUUCACUUUAUACCUCAAUGAAUCUGCCGUUUGAAUGAAUGAUUUAAUGUCUUACUCUAAAGAUACUUGAUACACCUGCUGGCUGUUUUACUUUCGUAUUGUUGCUGUAUUCUAACUUCAUAUAUUUAAAACAUUAAUAUUAUAGUGUUAUGCAAUUAUAUAUAUGUAGCUUGUUGCAUAUUGUGUUUAUUCAGAAUUAUAUAGCAGAAACAUAUAAAGGUGUCCUGUAUAGAAAGAUGUUACCCAGCUGACAGUUAAACAGUUUCACCUGUACAAGUGAACGCUGAGCAUCAGGCACAGCAACUAAUGAGGCGUAUUAUGACAUCCACACCCCUCUUCGACUGAUUGGCUGAGGAGGAGCUGUCAAUCAAGAACUACUGGACCAGUGAUGACGCUUGAGCCCGCCCUGAUUUACAUGAAACACUAACCGCAACAUUUGGAAAAGCAAGCGCAGAACGUGGAAACAAGCGUGAAGGUUAUAAAACAACGGGAAGAAUUGCCAUCGGACUAAACCCACAGCUGACAACCAGAGACGCAGACACACACACACACACACACACACACACGGAAAGAGCACCG